ensembl:lncRNA
UUUAAGGAUUGGCAGUGGAGGCAAGGGUAUUUUGCUGGAGUUCCCUGCAUACCUGAGGCCUUCCAAGGUGUGAAAUCAGAGUUUCUCAUUGCUAUGUUCCUGACAGAAUCAUAGCAGAAAGGGAAAGAUAUCAGGAAAGGAUCGCCAUGUAUUGGAGGUACUGAGGUCCAUCCAGUGCUGAAUCUCUGUGCCGGUUAUCUGUUAGGGGUGACUGUGCAAACCUUGUCAGCAUAACCCUGAAGGAUGUGUAUGUUCCGCUGAGAGAUCCCGUGGAAAUGAUGAACGUAUGCCUUCACAGUACUUCUCCAUCCUGUUAUGCCCAUCCAUCAGCAUGUCUGCAGUAAUUGAGGAGGAUGUUUUAGCUGGGGGGCCUGUACUCAAAUAUACAUAAUUGGGACUCUCUGCGGGGAGCCUUUGUAAGUCCAUAUCUGCCCCCUGCAAGAUGAUUGCAAUGCUGGUCACGUAAUGUCUACUGUAGAUAGAAAAAAGUCACAGUGCGAACUUGCUGGACUAGCUGUUAAAUACAUUAAACUCUUCUAAUUGGUAUACUUGCACUGAAUAGUAAAAUCCUGAGUCUAUAUUUAUCUUUAUAGUGUCUAAUUAACUCCCUAUGAGAUUGGUCAUUCUGGCCUCAGGUUUCCAGGAGCUAUGAGCCAGUUCUUAAUUCUCAGUUAAAUGCAGAGAUUUCUCAGUUUAGAAGUUGUCUUUUGUAUGUUGAAAUUCAAAUAAUUCAAACUUCAAACAGGGAUUGAAUUUUACAUAAUUUUCUCCCCUGGCUUUGAUAAAUUGUGAGCCUCCACAAAAGGUAAAAUUGUUUAGCUGGCUAGUCUGAGCAAACCUGUUUUUGAAUAAAACUUCCUCUUUGCUCACCAGUUAAAACUUUGUGGAGAAGAUUUUUGUAUGUGUGAAAGGCACCUUGUCUGCACACAACAGAAGCUCACAAUCAUUUUCUGUAAACUGCAAAUGGAGGCAGAUUGUUGUGCAAUACUGGACAACUUCCAACACUUCUCCUCCAGUGCACCUGUGUGGAAGGUAGCAGAGAGCCAUUCUUUGCCAGCAUUUUUAUGGAGUCAUUUUAAUUUAUAUGAAUCUCCAUUUAUGAAAAAAUAAGUUUUAAACCCUUGAAUGAUUGGUCUCACGCAGCCCAGAAAUGCUACAUUUUUAGUAACCUACUUGCUCAGGUUCUCACAAAAAAUUACGGAUUUUUCUAACUUAAAUGAUCUCUGAUUGGCAGGCUUGAAUUUUGGUGGCUAGAAGAACCUAAGUAUCAAUGUUAUCAACGUUCUGAACUUUACAGGCUCUGGAAGGAAAUGGCAUGGGAAAAAUUUUCCAAUUUAAGAUAUGAUCAAAUAGAAAAUGUAAAUCAAACCUAAAAAAAGCUUUUUUUUUUUUUUUUAAGUAAGCUUGUGACAUUCAUUCUUCUUACUCAUUUUAUUUAGAAGAAAAAUAUACUACGUUAAUAAAUAGGAAAAGUUUGAAUUUAACAAUAAAAAUAGUCAUCU